rnacentral:rRNA from 1 species
GGGUAGAGUAAUGCGUGACCAACCUGCCCCAUGCUCCAGAAUAGCUCUUGGAAACGGGUGGUAAUGCUGGAUGCUCCAACUUGACGCAUGUCUUGUUGGGAAAGUGUUUAGUGGCAUGGGAUGGGGUCGCGUCCUAUCAGCUUGUAGGCGGGGUAAUGGCCCACCUAGGCUUCGGCGGGUAGCCGGCCUGAGAGGGCGGACGGCCACAUUGGGACUGAGAUACGGCCCAGACUCCUACGGGAGGCAGCAGCC